UGGCUCAGGACGAACGCUGGCGGCGUGCUUAACACAUGCAAGUCGAACGGUGACCCAGGGCUUGCCCUGGUGAUCAGUGGCGAACGGGUGAGUAACACGUGGGCAACCUGCCCCUGACUUCGGGAUAACUCCUCGAAAGAGGAGCUAAUACCGGAUACGACCACUUCGGACAUCCGAUGGUGGUGGAAAGUUUUUCGGUCAGGGAUGGGCCCGCGGCCUAUCAGCUAGUUGGUGGGGUAAUGGCCUACCAAGGCGACGACGGGUAGCCGGCCUGAGAGGGCGACCGGCCACACUGGGACUGAGACACGGCCCAGACUCCUACGGGAGGCAGCAGUGGGGAAUAUUGCGCAAUGGGCGAAAGCCUGACGCAGCGACGCCGCGUGAGGGAUGAAGGCCUUCGGGUUGUAAACCUCUUUCAGCAGGGACGAAGCGAAAGUGACGGUACCUGCAGAAGAAGCACCGGCUAACUACGUG
rnacentral:rRNA from 1 species